AUACGUAGGUGGCGAGCGUUGUCCGGAAUUAUUGGGCGUAAAGGGAGCGCAGGUGGGAAAGUAAGUCUGCUUUAAAAGUGCGGGGCUCAACCCCGUGAGGGAGUGGAAACUAUUUUUCUUGAGUGCAGGAGAGGAAAGCGGAAUUCCUAGUGUAGCGGUGAAAUGCGUAGAUAUUAGGAGGAACACCAGUGGCGAAGGCGGCUUUCUGGACUGUAACUGACACUGAGGCUCGAAAGCCAGGGGAGCGAACGGGAUUAGAUACCCCGGUAGUCCUGGCCGUAAACGAUGGAUACUAGGUGUAGGAGGUAUCGACCCCUUCUGUGCCGGAGUUAACGCAAUAAGUAAUCCACCUGGGGAGUACGCCGGCAACGGUGAA
rnacentral:rRNA from 1 species